rnacentral:tRNA from 1 species
AAGAUUUUAAGUUAAAAAAACUAUUAACCUUCAAAGUUAAAAAUAAAAUUAUUUUUAAAUCUUA